AUUAAAGAGAUAAAAAAUUGGGGGAGGUGCCCCAAACCACCAAAAAUCCACCUCCGACGGCUCCUUCUCAAUGUCUCCUGUUUCCCCGCUAUAUUCACAAUUGUCGCUGUUCUUGUCUGACUUCUUUGCCGGCAUCUACAGAUCAACAAACUUCGAACAUUCGACGAGUAGCUGUAGCAACUCACACACGAAUCAGAUGUAGGUGCUAAAAGCAACAAGUUCGAGGUGAGCUAUAUUAUUCUUAUGGAGGCGGGAGCAUAGUGAACAAGAUUUGACUAUGACUACUUCAUCUAGCAUUGAUAAUUGUAAUUUUGGAAUUGUUCAAUAUACUAUAGUCUGUGACAAAUGUAGGACAAUGACGAUUUUUCAGUCUCAAAAGAAUUUGCAAGACUAAAAAAACCACAUUUCGGAAAAUAGUAAAUGCAAGUAUAAGAGCAUCGGUAUUAAUAAAAUAUAUAUUUAGUGCA